AGCGAACGCUGGCGGCAGGCCUAACACAUGCAAGUCGAACGGACCCUUCGGGGUUAGUGGCGGACGGGUGAGUAACACGUGGGAACGUGCCUUUAGGUUCGGAAUAGCUCCUGGAAACGGGUGGUAAUGCCGAAUGUGCCCUUCGGGGGAAAGAUUUAUCGCCUUUAGAGCGGCCCGCGUCUGAUUAGCUAGUUGGUGAGGUAAUGGCUCACCAAGGCGACGAUCAGUAGCUGGUCUGAGAGGAUGACCAGCCACAUUGGGACUGAGACACGGCCCAAACUCCUACGGGAGGCAGCAGUGGGGAAUCUUGCGCAAUGGGCGAAAGCCUGACGCAGCCAUGCCGCGUGAAUGAUGAAGGUCUUAGGAUUGUAAAAUUCUUUCACCGGGGACGAUAAUGACGGUACCCGGAGAAGAAGCCCCGGCUAACUUCGUGCCAGCCGCCGCGGUAAUAC
rnacentral:rRNA from 1 species